rnacentral:rRNA from 1 species
UACAGAGGCCCCGAGCGUUAAUCGGAAUCACUGGGCUUAAAGGGUGCGCAGGCGGAUCGGAAAGUGUUUUGUGAAAUCCCUCGGCUCAACCGGGGAACAGCAGGGCAAACUCCCGAUCUUGAGACAGGUAGGGGUCGAUGGAACCAUGGGUGGAGCGGUGAAAUGCGUAGAUAUCCAUGGGAACGCCAAUGGCGAAGGCAGUCGACUGGGCCUGUUCUGACGCUCAGGCACGAAAGCGUGGGGAGCAAACAGG